rnacentral:rRNA from 1 species
GACGAACGCUGGCGGCGUGCCUAAUACAUGCAAGUUGAGCGCUGAAGGUUGGUACUUGUACCAACUGGAUGAGCAGCGAACGGGUGAGUAACGCGUGGGGAAUCUGCCUUUGAGCGGGGGACAACAUUUGGAAACGAAUGCUAAUACCGCAUAAAAACUUUAAACACAAGUUUUAAGUUUGAAAGAUGCAAUUGCAUCACUCAAAGAUGAUCCCGCGUUGUAUUAGCUAGUUGGUGAGGUAAGGCUCACCCAGGGGAUGGUACAUAGCCGACCUGAGAGGGUGAUCGGCCACAUUGGGACUGGGACACGGCCCAAACUCCUACGGGAGGCAGCAGUAGGGAAUCUUCGGCAAUGGACGAAAGUCUGACCGAGCAACGCCGCGUGAGUGAAGAAGGUUUUCGGAUCGUAAAACUCUGUUGGUAGAGAAGAACGUUGGUGAGAGUGGGAAGCUCAUCAAGUGACGGUAACUACCCAGAAAGGGACGGCUAACUACGUG